rnacentral:misc_RNA from 1 species
AGCCCAAAAAGUCUUCUUUAAUGGGCUUACAAUUGGAACGAAAGCCAUUCCCAUCCACGAAUGAACAACCGCCAUUGGUGUCUUUGCUGCGACUUCAAGUUCGAGCAGGUAGCCACAGACCAAUCUCUGCUCUUUAACCAAUUCUUUAUAUCAAUUGAAUUUUCGAAUUCAUCAAAAUAUAUCAUUUUUUGUGUCGUAAUAUUCUCUUUUUACUCGACGAAAGAGGCAAAAUCCUUUCAUGGAGUCCCGGUCUCGGUCUCAGUCUAACUCCUUCGAAGAUAUCUUGGAAUCCUCGCUAAAUCUAGAGGAUACCCAUUUCAAAGAAGGCUACGACGAAGGCUAUAGUCAUGGGUUAGUCUCAGGAAAGGAGGAGGCUCGACAAGUGGGCCUUAAGACGGGCUUCGAGGUCGGCGAGGAACUCGGCUUCUAUCGGGGCUGCGUCGACGUCUGGAACUCUGCCGUUCGAAUUGACCCGACUGGAUUCUCGGCCCGGGCUCAGAAGUCCAUCAAGCAAAUGGAAGAGUUGAUUGAGAAAUACCCGCUGUUGAAUCCGGAGGAUGAGAGUGUACAGGAGAUUAUGGACAGUUUGAGGUUGAAGUUUCGGGUUAUAAGAGCGGGUUUGGGUGUGAAAUUGGAUUACGAUGGGUACCCCAAACCUAAAGAGAUUGAGUUUUGAGGAGUUGGUUGAAGUUUGUCAGGUGUUAAUAACAGCCAAUAUGGUGUAAUUUUGGUGUUUAGGAAUUUUGGGUAUUUCGUGUAGAAAUUUCCGCUAAUGCUAACUAGUUCUCUUCUUUUUUUAAGUCUGCGGAAGCACUUGAGUUUUGAUUUCUCAGUUGUUUUUAGACCUUCUUUUGCUAGGAGUUUAACUUGUCGCCUGUAUGCUAAAGUUUCUUGAGUUCAAUUUCGGGUGAAUUGCAUGCAACAAAUGAUGGUAAUUUUAUUUUCAGUUUAAGAAGUGUUUCAGUUAUGGUUUUCUUGUGGAAAAUUCGGCAGAUAGAAAAAUACUAUAAAUCCUUAUAUGUACUGUAAGUGCUAAGAUAAGAUGGGGAAUGGUUUUAGAUGUUGAAACUAACUGGAAAGAUAUUCUUCUGCAUGGUAGCUAAUGACUUUGAAUGUGAAUUUUGGUUGGUUUUGGAGAUGGCGAAUGUACUGAAUAUGUUAUUACAUAACUGGUUGAGGACCAUGAAAUUCACAUGCACACCUGGUUGCAGAGCAUGUUUGUGAAAUAAAAAGACAUCUUGAUGUUGGAUCCUUUAUUAUUCUGAGCCUAGGAUGUCAGUUGGUUACAAGCUGAUUGCAACUUUUUGGCUGGUUGAGCUGAGGCUGAAAUGAGAAUGAGUAAUCCUAGAAUUUCAGAUGUGGAGAGUCAUGAUGAUUGCAGUUCAUUUGUAGACAAAAAUGAUUUAUAGCUAUUGAAACUUGCAAUAUAUACGUCUACAUCCAAACCUAAUUUUAUUGUCAAGUUUCCAAUUGAUUGUUUUGUUCUCUAUUUUCAUUUCUCCCAUGUUUAAAUUUUUUUUCAUCUCUGUCGCUGUAUUUCUAGUUACAUAUGAAUAUUUCUACUAAAGGCUGCUUGAAAAUUUCACUUCUGCAAUUUGAUUAACUGUGAUCCCCUGGAAUCAUUAUAAUUUUUAUCUUAGUUAUCUACUUGUGCAACUUGUAAAAGGGGUCAAGGAGGAAAAACAUGUUGAAGUGGACACUUGCUUGCUGCAAGGUUUACAUAUCUGAAAGCCGAAAUAAGGCUGCAUUGGAGUCGAUUGAACAUGCUGCAAAGCUAUUCCCUCAAGCACCUAUUGUUAACAAGUUUGAGGAUGCAACCUACAAUAGAGUUGGAUAUACUCUUGUCUCAAGUUUGACUCCAAAACCAUCUGUAGAUUCAUGUCCAUUGAAGACUGCUGUGCUUGCCAUGGUUAAAGCUGCUUUCGAAGCUAUUGACCUUGAGUCACAUUGUGGAAGUCACCCCCGGCUAGGUGUUGUUGACCACAUUUGCUUUCAUCCUUUAGCACAUGCAUCUUCAGACCAAGCAGCAGGGAUUGCAAAGUCCUUGGCAGCAGAUGUUGGCUCUAGCCUUCAAGGUUUGAGCUCUUUGAAAUGAUUUUAGUUUACCAGUUACCUAGUAGACUAGAGAGAAAAAAAGCUUUGUAAAAUGAUAUGGACUGAUCACAAGCUAGAUGACAAGUCUAGAAUCUGGUCAUCCAAGAGUCUGAUUCCUCUAGUCUGGUUUCCCUUCUGUGAUUAUAACUUUCAGAUGCAAAAGUAGCAGUUGAUUAUGUAUCUCUCCAUCUUUUGGUUUGUCUUAUUUGGCUUCUCUUGUUGAAUUUUAUAAUUAUACUAGUUAAAGUAAUGGUCAUUUAAACCAAAAGUACGUUGAAUCCAUUUUUUGGGUCUGAUAAUACCAUGUAGCACUGUCAUUCAGAUGUCAUUAACUGAGAGCAGAAACUGAGUUUCAUAAUGAAUCUAUUUGAAGUUCUUAAUUUCAUACUAUAGCAACUUAACUUAGCAAUAAAAUCCUUUCAAAUGGAGUUGAUACUUUUGGUUCAUUUGUCUAGUCAUUCUUGUCUAGAAGCAGUUCAUGUGGACUAAUAAACAUAGGGAUGAAUUUUACAUACAAAAUUGAUAGGUCCCGCAUGAAUCUAUCUCUUGAUAUGCCUUUGGGUCUAUGAAGACUGGACUUAAGCAAGAAUUUCCCUCAUUUUUCUUACCUUGUUCUUUUGUUGUUCCAUGUCUAUACCUUGAAUAAAAAAAUUUUCUGUUAGGCAUUUCAAAUGGAUUGAAUUUUGCAUUGGAUUUUAAGUGGUUCAGUGGUAUACUUUGAAUUGCAGCCCUGUUUCUUUGGUCCCAAGUGUAGGAGAUAUCAGUAGACUGAAUUUUUACUUGAUAUGGUGGUUAAGAUAGCACUCAUUUUUGUGCUACCAAUUUUGUGUAAUUAAGAUAGUAUUUCAUGAGUUUCUACAUCCCUACUGGAUCAGCGUAUGAGAUAUACUUUAUUUCUGCAUUGCUAAUGAUCUUAAGUAUAGCUUGCAGUCCCUACCUUCCUAUAUGGAGCUGCCAGUGAACAGGGAAGGACACUGGAUUCAAUCAGAAGAGAACUGGGUUAUUUCAAGCCAAAUUCUGGAAACCAAUGGAUAGGGGGACCAAAAUCAGAGUCCUUGCAGAUGAAACCAGAUGAAGGUCCAGCUCAAGUGACUCGAGCAAAAGGCAUAGUUGUAAUUGGAGCAAGCCAAUGGGUUGACAACUACAAUGUCCCUGUCUUCUCUACUGAUAUUGCUGCUGUUCGCAGAAUUGCAAAACAAGUCAGUGGGAGGGGAGGUGGUCUUAGUUCAGUACAAACCAUGGCUCUUGCGCAUGGUGAUGAUGUAAUUGAGGUUGCUUGUAACUUGUUGGAACCGAGUAAAGUGGGAGGAGAAAGGGUUCAGCAAGAAGUUGAGAGGCUUGCGGAGGAAGAGGGUAUGACUGUGGGGAAAGGAUAUUUUACUGAUUUCUCUGAGGAAAAUAUAAUUGAAAGUUACUUGAAGUUGAAUUCCGAAUUGUAACCACAAGAUUAAAUAUUGUAUGAGUGAAGAUAUUGUUCUUUCGAUGGAAAUUAAUUCAAGAAAUAUUAUAAUAAAAGGUAUUGUACCAAUGAGUGUGAUUUGAGUGAUUGUCUAUACACGAUUCCAUUCUUUAAUCGAGGGUCUUUUAUCAGAUAAAUGAGGUUCAUUCGCAUACUCGGUAAGUAGUUACAUAUGCUCUAUAUUAAGAUUAGGUGCCAUCCGAAAGUCAUAUUUGAACUUUUAUUGAUGCUUGUAUUCAUGAUCGAAAAUAUAGAUGAAUUCCAAAACUCUCUCUCUCACCAUUAGGUUUAGAAAGCAUGGUUUAACUACAAGGGAAACCUGAAACUAUGAGCCUAGAUUUUGCAGAUUUGCUCUCUGAACUUGGCAGACAAUUGAGAGAUAGCAUCAAGAGACGUAAUUUAAAGCCUGCAAUCAUCAGAAAUGGAGACCAAGGUACAGCGCCUGCCAAUGUCAUCUGUUAAAGUAUAGCUUGCAUGCCUAGAUUACAUGACAUGUUCAGUUCAUUUCCAGCUUGUUCUGUUGAGAUGAAGAGGUGGAUUCAUAAUAGAACUAAUAAUAAAGUUGUAAGAAGAUAAGGUUUGGCUUGUAGUGAUUUCUCAUAUUUUUUCAGUCGAUCAUUCUCUGUAAGUCUCUUUCAUAUCAGCAUCAAUGUUGACACAGCAAAUUCACAUUAUAUGUACAAUUCUUGUGAUUUGUUGGUUGAAGACAAUUGGAGAGUUCCAAAAUAUGCAAAGAGACCCAUGAUAAUUAGCCUUGUAAAGGGUCCACAAUAUAUAUAUAUAUAUAACGAAUGGAAAUAGAUAUCAAACGAGCAUAUUAAAUAAAGGGAUGGAGUUAAACA